GACGGGUGAGUAACACGUGGGUGAUCUGCCCUGCACUUCGGGAUAAGCCUGGGAAACUGGGUCUAAUACCGGAUAGGAGCCAUUUUUAGUGUGAUGGUUGGAAAGUUUUUCGGUGUAGGAUGAGCUCGCGGCCUAUCAGCUUGUUGGUGGGGUAAUGGCCUACCAAGGCGGCGACGGGUAGCCGGCCUGAGAGGGUGGACGGCCACAUUGGGACUGAGAUACGGCCCAG
rnacentral:rRNA from 1 species